rnacentral:rRNA from 1 species
UUCAACGUGAGAGUUUGAUCCUGGCUCAGAGCGAACGCUGGCGGCAGGCUUAACACAUGCAAGUCGAGCGGACCUUUCGGGGUCAGCGGCGGACGGGUGAGUAACGCGUGGGAACGUGCCUUCCGG